rnacentral:tRNA from 1 species
UGUUAUAGCUCAGUUGGUAGAGCACAUCCUUGGUAAGGAUGAGGUCACCGGUUCAAAUCCGGUUAAC